UUCACUUGGUUCUCGUGUGUUGGUAGGAGCACACGUAAAAGUUUGUAGCCUAACUAACCAAAGAAGAUGCAAUUUACUUAAAAUAUUAGUUAAUUUGGCUUUAAUGGCACCUUUUUUACCUCAUCUUGACAUGAUUUGGUAAUUUCUUGUCAGGAUGCCCAAGAAAUUACCAUUUGAUUGGAAACUUAGCGAGGUUUUUAAUUUUCCGGUUUUCUUUUAGUCUCCAUUUUCUUUUUUUCCUUCUUCGAUUGCUUCGCCUUGAAGGUGUGAUGGUGUUGAAUUCUGUGAUGCUCCACGAGUGACUCCAGAACAGCCUGUUUUCUCUACAAGGAGAACCAAGACUUCAUGCAGCCAGUUGAAUUGGUGAGACUUUAUGUAGAUGAAGAUCAGGUAAAUUAAGACCAGUUUUCUUUAUAUUUUUUUAUCUAAUAAUUCAAUCUGUUUAAUUGAGAGUGACUAGUAGAAUAUGGACAUCUGGCCGAAGCCCAUAUAACCUGGAUUCUGUGUUCAUGUCCUGCUCGUUAUAAAAAUUUUCAUAAUUAAAUUUAACCUGUGGUAUUCA